UAUGCAUGUUCAGGUGAGUGCAGCCAACCCCCCUUGUUUCAUAUGUAUGUGUAUAUAUAUAUAUAUAUAUAUAUAUAUAUAUAUAUAUAUAUAUAUAUAUAUAUAUAUAUAUAUAUAUAUAUAUAUAUAUAUAUAUAUAUAUAUAUAUUUUUAUUGGGGUAGCCCCCAAAAUAUUGGGACAUAUUAAAAAACGACAACUCUGUUCCGUGACGGCGACUUUGCAUUCGGAUGUCAUCCAUAUCAACUUUCGAUGCCAGUUUCUGCGCCUACCAUGGUGACCACAGGUAACAGGGAAUCAGGGUUCCAUUCCGUACAGGGACCCUGAGAAACAGCUACCACAUGCAAGGAAGGCAGCAGGCGCGCAAAUGACCCACUCCCGACGCGGGAAGGUAGUGACGACAAAUAACAAUACAGGACUCUUUAGAGGCCCUGUAAUUGUAAUGAGUCCACUUGAAAUCCUUUAACUCUGAUCAAUUGGAGGGAAGACUGGUGCAGAGCCACUGAUCCGUGCAUG